GGAUUUGGUGAACCUGGCCCCCAGAAAACCUGACUGGGACUUGAAAAGGGAUGUCGCUAAGAAACUGGAAAAACUUGAGAAGAGAACACAGAGGGCGAUAGCAGAACUGAUACGAGAAAGAUUACAGAGUGGUGAGAGAGAGGACCUGGCUGCUGUGGUGAAUGCUAAAGCUGUAGCAGCAGCACAGAGACAGAACGAUGACAAUGAUGACUAUGACUCAGACUAGGCCUAACUAAGAGACUUGUUUAAACUUUAGUGUAUGGAGGUCUAUUUUUGUUAACAGUGCAGGUUUUUGUAUCAGCUUACAAAAAUUGAUAUCAUUCCAGCUGCAGGUUUUAUACCUUUACCCCAUACUGACGGAAAAUGAGGUAAACGUACAUGUAAUGCUAAGAAACAUAUUGGGGCACUUUUGCAUCCAAACUUUGAUGUAGUCUCAAAGCUAUUUUUGUUUGCUGUAGGUACAAUAUAAGCUAUAACGAGCAAUUUUUGUCUGUAAAACAUUGUACACUUAGUGAGAUACCACCUUAAGGUUUUGUUUCUAGGAAAAAAGGGAUGCUGAUUCGAACAGAAAAGACUUCAGGAUUACAGCAUUUCUCAAUGAUUUUAUUAAUAAACAUCCUGUUUGGAGACAAG